GAUGAAGAACGUAGCGAAAUGCGAUAAGUAAUGUGAAUUGCAGAAUUCAGUGAAUCAUCGAAUCUUUGAACGCACAUUGCGCCCGCCAGUAUUCUGGCGGGCAUGCCUGUUCGAGCGUCAUACAACCCUCAGGCCCCCGGGCCUGGCGUUGGGGAUCGGCGGAGCCCCCCGUGGGCACACGCCGUCCCCCAAAUACAGUGGCGGUCCCGCCGCAGCUUCCAUCGCGUAGUAGCUAACACCUCGCGACUGGAGAGCGGCGCGGCCACGCCGUAAAACACCCAACUCUUCUGAAGUUGACCUCGAAUCAGGUAGGAAUACCCGCUGAACUUAAGCAUAUCAAUAAGCGGAGGA
rnacentral:misc_RNA from 1 species